CGAAAUGGUGCAGUUAAACCUAGGCAUGGGCCGGGCCUGAGCCCAUGAAUGGUGGACCGUGCCGGGCCGAACCUGAAAUUUUCAGAAUUUGCUAUUGAGAUUAGCUUGUUAAUUAUAUCCAACAAAUCAACUGAGAAGUCUGAGGGAGUUGAAUUAUCUAUUUCUGCAACAACAUUGAAUUUCGGGUGCUAUCUUAUCUCUCUCUCUUAUGAAUUUACAAUAAUUGUUUGUGUUUGUUUAAUUUGUAACUUUUUAAGUGAAUUAUUAUUGCUUUUGGAAAUCCUGUAACCUGAAAUUAUACUUCAUCAAUGUGAUAUUCUGGGUUAAUAAAAUAGAUGGUUUUUUUUAUA